AAAUUGAAGAGUUUGAUCAUGGCUCAGAUUGAACGCUGGCGGCAGGCCUAACACAUGCAAGUCGAACGGUAGCAGGAAGCAGCUUGCUGCUUCGCUGACGAGUGGCGGACGGGUGAGUAAUGUCUGGGAAACUGCCUGAUGGAGGGGGAUAACUACUGGAAACGGUGGCUAAUACCGCAUAACGUCGCAAGACCAAAGAGGGGGACCUUCGGGCCUCUUGCCAUC
rnacentral:rRNA from 1 species